GGGCUCCAUCCUGAACUCCAUGGAGCGGCCGCCCGCCGCGGCCGACGGCGAGACGCGGCGCCGGGCGCGGGAGCAAGCUGCUCGCAUGAAGAAGCUGCAGGAGCAAGAGAAGCGGCAGAAGGUGGAGUUCAGGAAGAGGAUGGAGCAAGAGGUGUCCCAGUUCAUCCAGGCCACCGGGGAGCCCCGGCGCCGGUUCCAGCCCAUGAACAAGAUCGAGAGGAGCAUCCUG